rnacentral:rRNA from 1 species
GACGGAGGAUGCAAGCGUUAUCCGGAAUUAUUGGGCGUAAAGAGCUCGUAGGCGGUUUGUCGCGUCUGCCGUGAAAGUCCGGGGCUCAACUUCGGAUCUGCGGUGGGUACGGGCAGACUAGAGUGAUGUAGGGGAGACUGGAAUUCCUGGUGUAGCGGUGAAAUGCGCAGAUAUCAGGAGGAACACCGAUGGCGAAGGCAGGUCUCUGGGCAUUAACUGACGCUGAGGAGCGAAAGCAUGGGGAGCGAACAGG